UUGGCGGACGGGUGAGUAACGCGUGGGUAACCUGCCGUAUGCAGGGGGAUAACACUUAGAAAUAGGUGCUAACACCGCAUAAGCGCACGGAGACGCAUGUUUCUGUGUGAAAAACUCCGGUGGCAUACGAUGGACCCGCGUCUGAUUAGCCAGUUGGCAGGGUAACGGCCUACCAAAGCGACGAUCAGUAGCCGGCCUGAGAGGGCGGACGGCCACAUUGGGACUGAGACACGGCCCAAACUCCUACGGAAGGCAGCAG
rnacentral:rRNA from 1 species